rnacentral:rRNA from 1 species
AGUGAACGCUGGCGGCAGGCCUAACACAUGCAAGUCGAACGGCAGCACAGGAGAGCUUGCUCUCUGGGUGGCGAGUGGCGGACGGGUGAGGAAUAUAUCGGAAUCUACCCUUUCGUGGGGGAUAACGUAGGGAAACUUACGCUAAUACCGCAUACGAACUGAGGUUGAAAGCGGCGGACCGCAAGGCGUCGCGCGGAUGGAUGAGCCGAUAUCCGAUUAGCUAGUUGGCGGGGUAAAGGCCCACCAAGGCGACGAUCGGUAGCUGGUCUGAGAGGAUGAUCAGCACCACGGGAACUGAGACACGGUCCAGACUCCUACGGGAGGCAGCAGUAGGGAAUAAUGGGCAAUGGUCGGAAGCCUGACCCAGCCAUGCCGCGUGCAGGAAGAAGGCGUUCUGCGUUGUAAACUGCUUUUAUCUGGGAAGAAAUGGCAACGGCUAAUAUCCGUUGUUGAUGACGGUACCCGCAUAAGAAGCACCGGCUAACUACGUGCCAGCCGCCGCCGUAA